rnacentral:lncRNA from 1 species
GUUUACCAUGAAGUGCAGACACAGCAGAUACCCAGAUAAUACAGUCAGUGCAAAAGUCAAAUGAGUAAGUCAGCUCUUUGAUGAGGCUGGCUACACUGCAAAAUAUAAAUGAAACUCGAAAAUAGAAGGUAAGGUCUAUUUACAAAAGUUUGUUUAGUAAAGUGACUUGAAAAAAGUUGUUAACCACUUCCCAGGCAUCCCUCCCCUCUCCCAC